AGCCUCAUGCUCACAGUGGCCUGGCAGCCUUUGGAACCAGGUCUGUCUUGUUCCAAAGCCCACAAGAGAGGAUUAACUACGUGAUCAUCUGAAGCCUAGGAAUCCCUUUGAUAAAUACCAGCAACCUAGCCACAGUAGAUGUGAGCUCCACCCUCAGGAAACCUCCCAGGCAUACUGAGGUGAUAAAAGACACCAGACAGAAAAGAAAAGCAUCAGUCAUAGAACACUAAUCCUCAGACCACCCUCCCAGGCCCUGCUCUGCAAACAGAACCAGCAGGCUUUCUGUCAUCUCAGGCGGCUCCUCCUCUAGUCCAGCAGUGUCCUGUGCCCAUCCUGGCUCCUUAGCUGAGCUGGGGAUUCAAUAAGGAAGAUUAACAAACCUGGAAGGCCAAGUUCAUACCUGUCACUACCACUGUCCCCAUAGAACCGCUUCACCAUCUUGCCUGCCAAGAUAUGGUGUUGUCUUUACGAUAACUGAACAAUGGUCCAGGACCUGAGUCUGCUGGCUUUUAUGGUGCCUUCCUAGAACUAACCCAGAUGAUGGGCAUGAAAUCAGCCCUGCAGACAUAGAAACAAUCUCCUGAACCAGACAGAGUCAAGAUAGAGCUCUUCAAACUACAGCCUUCCUGAGCAUCCUUCCUUCCUUGGAGAUGGAACCAAGGUCAUCACAAGUCAGCGCGGGAUGAGACUGUCUCAUGUACACCAGGACUGGCCUUGAACUUCAGAUCCUCCUGCCUCUCUGCCUUCCAAGUGCUGGGGUUCCGGACAUGCAGGAUGAUGUCUGGCUGGUGUGCCAAGUUCUCAAGCAUGAAAGAGAGCACUCCUACUUGUAUUUGGCUGGGACACCUCAAGGAUCACAAAACGAAACACUCUCUCAUCAUCCUUUUCCUUGCAAGCAGCAGUACUGCCGCAUAGACAUGAAGACUGGCUUUGAGUCUCUCCUGGAGCGUGGGACCUGGAUGGCAGACAAUGAGUGCAGGAAGAAGAGGACUGGCUUUGAAAAGGAGACCAUGUGAAGCUGUAUUCCAGCAUGCCAGAGACACACACUGGGUGUUCCCAAAUGCAAGAACGCACACUUAGCCGCCUCCAAAUCUUGACUGGACCUAACUAAAUAUAUAUUUCUACAUGCCCUUUUCUCUCAGAAGCUUAAAUUGCCAGAAAUACGCCAGAACCUGGAAACAACCUAGAUGUCCUUCAAUGGAAGAAUGGAUGAAGAAAGUGUGGAAUACAUACACAUUAGAGUACUACUCUGCGGUGAAAAACAAUGGCUUCUCGAAUUUUGCGUGCAAAUGGAUGGAAAUAGAAAACACUAUCCUGAGUGAGAAUUUCAUGUAGCCCAGCCUGGCUGAGAACCCCGGAAGCCUACUGAGGCUUGGCCGUUAACUACUGUCCCCUUGCCUGCCUGCUUCCUACCGGUACCACCAUUGCUGACUUUAGGUGACCUUUCCAGCUUUUUGUCUGUUCUAGCAUGAAAGCCUGUGAUGCUGCAAUGUUUAAGGGCUGCUUCUGCUGCACCGCACCCUGUUUUAUUUACCAGCAGCCCUUGCUUCACAUGCGACUGAGGGGUCAUGAAAAUGAGGAUGCAAAUUCGCAGCGUGCCAAGUGAUCUUAAUAGCAAGAGGGAAAAAUCGAAAAUUUUCUGGGACCUUUAAAAAGAUUUUACCAUACUAUUAAAAAUUCUCACUGUCAAGCGAAAGAGUCUCACUGUAAGUUAUAAAUGUGUAGGCAAUUUCACAAAUGAUGAAACUGAUACUUUAAAGUUUCCUAUAAUUUAAAAUAAUAUGCACAUUACAGUGUUUGCUUCUUUGUAAAUAUUUGUCUGUGAAUACGUUUGGGAAAACUAAAAAGUUCAGAAGGCCGAUGGGAGUGGCAGUUCUACUCUGUGGAAAUGUGUUCAUACUAUACUUAAAGACUGUGAAAUGCAGCCUGGCAGUGGUGGUGCAUGCCUUUAAUCCCAACGCUAAGGAGGAAGAGGCAGGCAGAUCUCUAUGAGUUUGAGGCUAGCCUGGUUUACAGAGAGAGUUCCAGGACAGGCUCCAAAGCUACACGGAGAAACCCUAUCUUGAAAAACAAACAAACAAAAAAAAAAUUGUGAAAUGCCAACUCUUGUGUUAUGUAUAUAUUCACACAAUUAAAAUCUUACCAGAAGUCAUUUGAACAGUGCUUUGUACU